rnacentral:rRNA from 1 species
CGCGGCCUAUCAGCUUGUUGGUGAGGUAGUGGCUCACCAAGGCUUUGACGGGUAGCCGGCCUGAGAGGGUGACCGGCCACACUGGGACUGAGACACGGCCCAGACUCCUACGGGAGGCAGCAGUGGGGAAUAUUGCACAAUGGGCGAAAGCCUGAUGCAGCGACGCCGCGUGAGGGAUGACGGCCUUCGGGUUGUAAACCUCUUUCAGUAGGGACGAAGCGAGAGUGACGGUACCUGCAGAAGAAGCACCGGCUAACUACGUGCCAGCAGCCGCGGUAAUACGUAGGGUGCGAGCGUUGUCCGGAAUUAUUGGGCGUAAAGAGCUUGUAGGCGGUUUGUCGCGUCUGCUGUGAAAGACCGGGGCUUAACUCCGGUUCUGCAGUGGGUACGGGCAGGCUAGAGUAUGGUAGGGGAGACUGGAAUUCCUGGUGUAGCGGUGAAAUGCGCAGAUAUCAGGAGGAACACCGAUGGCGAAGGCAGGUCUCUGGGCCAUUACUGACGCUGAGAAGCGAAAGCAUGGGGAGCAAACAGGAUUAGAUACCCUGGUAGUCCAUGCCGUAAACGUUGGGCGCUAGGUGUGGGACUCAUUCCACGAGUUCCGUGCCGCAGCUAACGCAUUAAGCGCCCCGCCUGGGGAGUACGG